AAGAGAGACUGGGCUACCAAGAACUGCUAAUUACUUGCUACCGAGGUU
rnacentral:tRNA from 1 species